rnacentral:rRNA from 1 species
CAGUAGCCACGGUAAUACGAAGGGGGCUAGCGUUGUUCGGAUUUACUGGGCGUAAAGCGCACGUAGGCGGACUUUUAAGUCAGGGGUGAAAUCCCGGGGCUCAACCCCGGAACUGCCUUUGAUACUGGAAGUCUUGAGUAUGGUAGAGGUGAGUGGAAUUCCGAGUGUAGAGGUGAAAUUCGUAGAUAUUCGGAAGAACACCAGUGGCGAAGGCGGCUCACUGGCUCAUACUGGACGCUGAGGUGCGAAAGCGUGGGGAGCAAACAGGAUUAGAUACCCGAGUAGUCCCUGUCUUAUACAC